UCGUAGGUACCCCUCUGUGACAUAAAGCCA
rnacentral:sRNA from 1 species